rnacentral:lncRNA from 1 species
UAGGAAUUCCUAUCUCAACCUGGACGCAUAGCUGGAGAUGGAGAAAGGGAUAUUCAGUCUUCUCCAUGCAAGGUCCCCUUGGAUUGAGAACCAUUGGGGAUUGGCCGCUUACUCUGAAUAAGUAGCGGAUAUGAGAAUAGCUGAUAUCCUGUGAGGAGGCUGGUUUGUAGCCAUGUGGGCCCCUGUUCUGCAGACUACAUUUUAAAAUUGACUGUAUUUCUACAUGCAUCUUUGUAAGUAUUUGCAUUUAAAUGUAAAUAUAAAUUGUACUCUUCUACAUAGAGAGUUUCUCUUUCUUUCUUUUUCUUUCUUUUUCUCUCUCUAAAUAUAUAUGUAUUUCUCUCUUUUUAAAAUAGAUUUUCAGUAUGAAUCGACUAUCAGUGAAGUUCUUCUGUAGUGGUUAAUUCAUUCUUAAUAGAAAGUGGUAUUUUUCUGAAGAAAAAGGAACAAUACAUCUUUAGAAUAGGUUUGAGCUUGGAUCUGAGGAGAAAUAGAGGAGGAUGGCUAAAGUGUUUUUCAUUUCCUUUCUGCGGUUGAUCGCACAGUCACUUUACACUGUAUUUUAAAGUACACCAUGUAUGUUGGAACCUGGGACCUGUUGGACACCAGCUGCUUGCAACAGAUGGAAUAUCUGACAAAAACUCAAAUUCUCGAUUUUUUUUUGCUCCCCGCUCUCUGGCAAGUCAGUUGCAGCCUACCUCGACAUGGCAGUUUGGAUCCGAAUGGCAAUUUGGUCAAUACUACAGAGAUGAAGGCACGGGCAAGGAAGCUCAUCCAUCAUCUUAACACUCUUCAUGAUGAACCAAGCAAAGGAAUAUGGCAGACAGAAGAAGUGAGGACCACUUGGAAAGCUCCAUGGCACUUAGAAGUGGUGCUUCUGCAUAAACUCCAGUGA